rnacentral:tRNA from 1 species
GUUGCCGUGGCCGUGUGGUUAAGGCCAUAGACUUGAAAUCUUUUGGGAUCUUCCCGCGCAGGUUCGAAUCCUGCCGACAGCG